rnacentral:rRNA from 1 species
UACGAAGGGAGCUAGCGUUGUUCGGAAUCACUGGGCGUAAAGCGCACGUAGGCGGAUGUGUCAGUCAGGGGUGAAAUCCCGGAGCUCAACUUCGGAACUGCCUCUGAUACAGCACGUCUUGAGUCCGAUAGAGGUGGGUGGAAUUCCUAGUGUAGAGGUGAAAUGCGCAGAUAUCAGGAGGAACACCAAUUGCGAAGGCAGCUCGCUGGACCGGAACUGACGCUGAGGCGCGAAAGCGUGGGGAGCAAACAGG